rnacentral:rRNA from 1 species
GAAAUGCGAUAAGUAAUGUGAAUUGCAGAAUUCAGUGAAUCAUCGAAUCUUUGAACGCACCUUGCGCCCCUUGGUAUUCCGAGGGGCAUGCCUGUUUGAGUGUCAUGUUAACAUCAAACCCCUUGCUUGUAAAGGCUCGGGGCUUGGAUUUGGAGGUUGUGCUGGCUGGCCUACUUCAUUGUCGGUUGUCGGCUCCUCUUAAAUGGAUUAGCUGGACUUUGGUCUGCGUGUCGGUGUAAUAGUUUAUUCACCAAUCGCUUGCCUAAUGGGUCUGCUUCUAAUAGUCUUUGGACAAGGUCUUAACAGCCUUCUUGACUCUUUGACCUCAAAUCAGGUAGGACUACCCGCUGAACUUAA